CCUCUUGAUUCAUGACAAUACCCCCAACUGCAGUCGAUGCUUGUCCCCAAGAAUCGAAAUCAGGAAAUUGGGAAUGAAGUACUGUAAAAUCCUCCCAUGAUAAACCUGAAGCUGACCAUCAACAGUGAGUUCAGGGACUAUAGAAUCGAGAAGACAACUUCAAAUUUCUGCGCAAAGCCAAUGAAGUUUGUUUGUAAGGCUGAAGCUUAAGGU